rnacentral:rRNA from 1 species
AAACCAACCGGGAUUGCCUUAGUAACGGCGAGUGAAGCGGCAAAAGCUCAAAUUUGAAAUCUGGCGUCUUCGGCGUCUGAGUUGUAAUUUGAAGAAGCUACUCUGGUGCUAGUCCCUGUCUAUGUUCCUUGGAACAGGACGUCAUAGAGGGUGAGAAUCCCGUCUGGCGGGGGUGCUAGUUCCAUGUAGAGUGCUUUCGACGAGUCGAGUUGUUUGGGAAUGCAGCUCUAAGUGGGUGGUAAACUCCAUCUAAAGCUAAAUAUUGGCGAGAGACCGAUAGCGAACAAGUACAGUGAUGGAAAGAUGAAAAGAACUUUGAAAAGAGAGUGAAAAAGUACGUGAAAUUGUUGAAAGGGAAGGGCAUUUGAUCAGCCAUGGUGUUUUCGCGGCACUUACCCCUCGUGGGUGGGUUCACCGCAGCUCACUGGGCCAGCAUCAGUUUUGGUGGUAGCAUAAACCCUUUGGAAUGUGGCUUUCUCUUCGGAGGAAGUGUUAUAGCCUUAGGUCAUACUGCCAACCGGGAUUGAGGACUGCGGCUUCGGCCAAGGAUGCUGGCAUAAUGGUUAAAUGCCGC